GAUGAACGCUGGCGGCGUGCCUAAUACAUGCAAGUCGAGCGAACGGACGAGAAGCUUGCUUCUCUGAUGUUAGCGGCGGACGGGUGAGUAACACGUGGAUAACCUACCUAUAAGACUGGGAUAACUUCGGGAAACCGGAGCUAAUACCGGAUAAUAUUUUGAACCGCAUGGUUCAAAAGUGAAAGACGGUCUUGCUGUCACUUAUAGAUGGAUCCGCGCUGCAUUAGCUAGUUGGUAAGGUAACGGCUUACCAAGGCAACGAUGCAUAGCCGACCUGAGAGGGUGAUCGGCCACACUGGAACUGAGACACGGUCCAGACUCCUACGGGAGGCAGCAGUAGGGAAUCUUCCGCAAUGGGCGAAAGCCUGACGGAGCAACGCCGCGUGAGUGAUGAAGGUCUUCGGAUCGUAAAACUCUGUUAUUAGGGAAGAACAUAUGUGUAAGUAACUGUGCACAUCUUGACGGUACCUAAUCAGAAAGCCACGGCUAACUACGUGCCAGCAGCCGCGGUAAUACGUAGGUGGCAAGCGUUAUCCGGAAUUAUUGGGCGUAAAGCGCGCGUAGGCGGUUUUUUAAGUCUGAUGUGAAAGCCCACGGCUCAACCGUGGAGGGUCAUUGGAAACUGGAAAACUUGAGUGCAGAAGAGGAAAGUGGAAUUCCAUGUGUAGCGGUGAAAUGCGCAGAGAUAUGGAGGAACACCAGUGGCGAAGGCGACUUUCUGGUCUGUAACUGACGCUGAUGUGCGAAAGCGUGGGGAUCAAACAGGAUUAGAUACCCUGGUAGUCCACGCCGUAAACGAUGAGUGCUAAGUGUUAGGGGGUUUCCGCCCCUUAGUGCUGCAGCUAACGCAUUAAGCACUCCGCCUGGGGAGUACGACCGUAAGGUUGAAACUCAAAGGAAUUGACGGGGACCCGCACAAGCGGUGGAGCAUGUGGUUUAAUUCGAAGCAACGCGAAGAACCUUACCAAAUCUUGACAUCCUUUGACAACUCUAGAGAUAGAGCUUUCCCCUUCGGGGGACAAAGUGACAGGUGGUGCAUGGUUGUCGUCAGCUCGUGUCGUGAGAUGUUGGGUUAAGUCCCGCAACGAGCGCAACCCUUAAGCUUAGUUGCCAUCAUUAAGUUGGGCACUCUAAGUUGACUGCCGGUGACAAACCGGAGGAAGGUGGGGAUGACGUCAAAUCAUCAUGCCCCUUAUGAUUUGGGCUACACACGUGCUACAAUGGACAAUACAAAGGGCAGCGAAACCGCGAGGUCAAGCAAAUCCCAUAAAGUUGUUCUCAGUUCGGAUUGUAGUCUGCAACUCGACUACAUGAAGCUGGAAUCGCUAGUAAUCGUAGAUCAGCAUGCUACGGUGAAUACGUUCCCGGGUCU
rnacentral:rRNA from 1 species